GUGGGCCAGACAGAGGACCAAACUGUUUCAACUUACCUGUCAGAUAAAUCAGUUAACAGUUUGUCAACAUUUUGAUCCUCUGGGAGCUAAAAGUUGAAGCUCCACCUGGUGAAAUAAUUGGAUAUGUUUAUCAAUACUUUCACCCAUUCUUGCCAAAGUUCAAAAUAAAAAAUGAGAAUAAGGAGGAGGUAAUGAAAAUUAUAGGCCCAUGGUUGGUCUUCAGCUGUCUCGGGGAUCUAAAUUUUAAUUUAUUGACUCUGGAUGAGGAAAUGGUUAUUGGAAAGAUUUCAAAACAGUACUCUGGAUUUGUAAGGGGAAUAUUAACCAAUGGUGAGAAAUUUGGGAUCCAGUUUCCAUUUGAUCUUGAUGUUAAAAUUAAAGCAUUGAUGCUUGGAGCAACUUUCCUCAUUGAAUACAUGUAUUUUGAACUGUGGCCAUAAGAAUUACCCUGAAAGAAUAUGUCAAAGAUUACUGGCGUUUAUUUUUGCCAGCCCUCAACAAAAC
rnacentral:lncRNA from 1 species